rnacentral:rRNA from 1 species
AUGCCUAACACAUGCAAGUCGAACGGAAACGAUGGGAGCUUGCUCCCAGGCGUCGAGUGGCGGACGGGUGAGUAAUACUUAGGAAUCUGCCCAGUAGUGGGGGACAACUCGAGGAAACUCGAGCUAAUACCGCAUACGCCCUACGGGGGAAAGCGGGGGAUCUUCGGACCUCGCGCUAUUGGAUGAGCCUAAGUCGGAUUAGCUUGUUGGUGAGGUAAAAGCUCACCAAGGCGACGAUCCGUAGCUGGUCUGAGAGGACGAUCAGCCACACUGGGACUGAGACACGGCCCAGACUCCUACGGGAGGCAGCAGUGGGGAAUAUUGGACAAUGGGGGCAACCCUGAUCCAGCAAUGCCGCGUGUGUGAAGAAGGCCUGCGGGUUGUAAAGCACUUUCAGUAGAGAAGAAAAGCUUAGGGUUAAUAACCCUGAGUCUUGACGUUACCUACAGAAGAAGCUCCGGCUAACUCCGUGCCAGCAGCCGCGGUAAUACGGAGGGAGCGAGCGUUAAUCGGAAUUACUGGGCGUAAAGCGCGCGUAGGCGGCUUUGUAAGUCGGAUGUGAAAGCCCCGGGCUCAACCCGGGAAUGGCAUUCGAUACUGCAUAACUAGAGUAUGGUAGAGGGAAGUGGAAUUUCCGGUGUAGCGGUGAAAUGCGUAGAUAUC